UACAGAGGUGGCAAGCGUUGUUCGGAAUUACUGGGCGUAAAGGGCGCGUAGGCGGCCUUCUAAGUCAGACGUGAAAUCCCUCGGCUUAACCGAGGAACUGCGUCCGAUACUGAAAGGCUUGAAUCCGGGAGAGGGAUGUGGAAUUCCAGGUGUAGCGGUGAAAUGCGUAGAUAUCUGGAGGAACACCGGUGGCGAAGGCGGCAUCCUGGACCGGCAUUGACGCUGAGGCGCGAAAGCUAGGGGAGCAAACGGG
rnacentral:rRNA from 1 species